UACGUAGGGUGCAAGCGUUAAUCGGAAUUACUGGGCGUAAAGCGCACGUAGGCGGCUUUCUAAGUCAGGGGUGAAAUCCCGGGGCUCAACCCCGGAACUGCCCUUGAAACUGGAUGGCUAGAAUCCUGGAGAGGCGAGUGGAAUUCCGAGUGUAGAGGUGAAAUUCGUAGAUAUUCGGAAGAACACCAGUGGCGAAGGCGACUCGCUGGACAGGUAUUGACGCUGAGGUGCGAAAGCGUGGGGAGCAAACAGGG
rnacentral:rRNA from 1 species